rnacentral:rRNA from 1 species
GUAGGUGGCAAGCGUUGUCCGGAAUUAUUGGGCGUAAAGCGCGCGCAGGCGGUUCUUUAAGUCUGAUGUGAAAGCCCACGGCUCAACCGUGGAGGGUCAUUGGAAACUGGAGAACUUGAGUACAGAAGAGGAAAGCGGAAUUCCACGUGUAGCGGUGAAAUGCGUAGAGAUGUGGAGGAACACCAGUGGCGAAGGCGGCUUUAUGGUCUGUAACUGACGCUGAGGCGCGAAAGCGUGGGGAGCAAACAGGGAUUAGAUACCCUGGUAGUCCACGCCGUAAACGAUGAGUGCUAAGUGUUAGGGGGUUUCCGCCCCCUUAGUGCUGCAGCUAACGCAUUAAGCACUCCGCCUGGGGAGUACGGCCGCAAGGCUG